rnacentral:rRNA from 1 species
GAUGAAGCUUGCCGCGUGCCCAAAAAAUUCAAAGCGGAGGGAAGGGAGGGAAAGUUGGCUCCCUUGAGUUAGGGGCGGACGGGGGGAGAACACCGUGGUAACCUACCUUUAAAGCUGGGGUAAAUUCCGGAAAACGUUGGUUAUACCGGAAAAUUUUUUGAAACGCCAGGGUCAAAAGUGGAAGGAGGGCUUUCUUGUACCUUAUAAUUGAUCCGCGCUGCAUUAGCUAGUUGGUAAGGUAACGGCUUACCAAGGCAACGAUGCAUAGCCGACCUGAGAGGGUGAUCGGCCACACUGGAACUGAGACACGGUCCAGACUCCUACGGGAGGCAGCCGUAGGGAAUCUUCCGCAAUGGGCGAAAGCCUGACGGAGCAACGCCGCGUGAGUGAUGAAGGUCUUCGGAUCGUAAAACUCUGUUAUUAGGGAAGAACAUAUGUGUAAGUAACUGUGCACAUCUUGACGGUACCUAAUCAGAAAGCCACGGCUAACUACGUG